rnacentral:rRNA from 1 species
AUUGAACGCUGGCGGCAUGCUUUACACAUGCAAAUCGAACGGUAACAGGGAGCUUGCUCCGCUGACGAGUGGCGAACGGGUGAGUAAUGCAUCGGAACGUGCCUAUUUGUGGGGGAUAACGUAGCGAAAGUUACGCUAAUACCGCAUACGCCCCUGAGGGGGGAAAGCGGGGGAUUCGUAAGAACCUCGCGCAAUUAGAGCGGCCGAUGUCGGAUUAGCUAGUUGGUGGGGUAAAGGCUCACCAAGGCGACGAUCCGUAGCGGGUCUGAGAGGAUGAUCCGCCACACUGGGACUGAGACACGGCCCAGACUCCUACGGGAGGCAGCAGUGGGGAAUUUUGGACAAUGGGCGCAAGCCUGAUCCAGCAAUGCCGCGUGCAGGAAGAAGGCCUUCGGGUUGUAAACUGCUUUUGUACGGAACGAAAAGGCUCUGGUUAAUACCUGGGGCUCAUGACGGUACCGUAAGAAUAAGCACCGGCUAACUACGUG